rnacentral:rRNA from 1 species
CCUACGGGAGGCAGCAGUGGGGAAUAUUGCACAAUGGGGGAAACUCUGAUGCAGCGACGCCGCGUGAAGGAAGAAGGUUUUCGGAUCGUAAACUUCUAUCAGCAGGGAAGAAGAAAGUGACAGUACCUGACUAAGAAGCGCCGGCUAACUACGUGCCAGCAGCCGCGGUAAUACGUAGGGGGCAAGCGUGAUCCGGAAUCACUGGGUGCAACGGGUGCGUAGGCGGCAGGGCAAGUCAGAUGUGAAAGCCCGGGGCGCAACCCCGGGACUGCAUUUGAAACUGUCUUACUAGAGUGCAGGAGAGGAAAGCCGAAUUCCUAGUGUAGCGGUGAAAUGCGUAGAUAUUAGGACGAACACCCGUGGCGAAGGCGUCUUUCUGGACUUUAACUGACGCUGAGGCACGAAAGCUUGGGGAGCGAACAGGAUUAGAUACCCCAGUAGUC